CCCAACAUCAUCUUUGCUACCACCCAUUUCAAUGGCUUCCCUUUCAACCACUUUUCACCCACUAAAUAAAGUAACCCAUAUCUGUCACCUGUUCGACAACUUUCAUGAUCGCCCAACCUCUAGCUCCCAAUCCAUGGAUAGGCCUUCAAUUUUGCUGGCUGAAAACGUGUUCAAGAUGGCCGAAUUUGAGCUCCAUCAAUUAGCAUGGCCGAAUAUGAGUUGCAUGUGGACUCUGGAGGUACGUUUUAAUUUGUUUUAUAGUUGUAAAACCCUAGAUUGUCAAAGAAAGCCCCCCUAAUUAUACAUCUUGUCAUAUAUUUACAUCUGCAAUUUUGAUGUUCUCUAUCUCCCUAUCUUCCCCCAUUACCGAAGCCCUACUUCUCAAUACAUAGUCUACCUAUGGCUGCCCCAAAUCUUAUGUUUUCAAGUCUUUCUCUUGCCUACGCAUUUUAAUUGAUUCCACUUUUCUCCUCAAUCAAUCAGCGAACUAGAAAGCGAGGAAAUCGUUCACACAUAAUCGCUUAUAUAGAAGUCAGAAUUUCAACUAGUUACGAAUCUCUAAUUUGCCGUUCCCCUCUGUCCAUUCUCAUUGAUUCAUUCCAUUCAAGAAGAACAGGCAAUCCAUCAAGCUAAAAUAGCGCACUAGAGCAUAGAUUAGAGUUGAUUUGAAUAUGAGUAAUUUAAUAUGUACAUAUAUUUUGAGUAUAAAUCCAAUGUGUUCUUUUAAGUAUUAAAAGGUUUUUUGCUCAACAAAAUUAUCCAUUAUCAUUUUUGUUUUAGAUUUAGCUAGUGAUGAACUAGGCCAUAAGUGGAAAAUAAAUAGUUAUCCAAUUGGUUAAAGUAGUAUUAUUAAUUGAGCCAUUUAGAUUGUAUGCUCAAGCCAAUCCUGUUAGUGGGUAUUAAGUCUUUUAAUAUACAAGAGUGGGAGUGGGAAUACCCUCUACCCAAACUUAGUUAAAUUAUUAUUAUUAUUAUAUUGAAACUUCUCUCAUGUGACCUUCCAUAUAGUUUGUGAAAUGUCACAUAUGGUGUGUGAUGAUGACUGAUACUCAUUAUGAUAAGGUACAUUGGUAUUUCUUACGCUUCUUAAUAGUUUAACUUAUUUUUAUUGCAUUUACUCUUUUUUUUUUUUUUUUUUUUCUAGGAUGGAGCAAGGGAACACUUUGAUGCCUAUUGAAGGUCUCAAAAUACAUUGUUCUAAUCUACGGAUGUGGUAGCAUGGGUUUGGUUUCACAAGUUAGUUCAUAAUGGUGGUUAACUGUUAUUGGCUUCUGGAGUGACUUGGUGUGGAAUUAUUGUAUUCAAAGGCGAAAUGCAUAAAGUCAUAAACAGUUUGAAGAAUGACUACCUUUCAUGAAAUUCAGUUGGUGCUAAGUAAAAUUCAAUGCAAGCAAUGGGCAGCCCUAACAAUGAGCUUCUGGAGUGACUUGGUGUGGAAUUAUUGUAUUCAAAGGCGAAGUGCAUAAAGUCAUAAACAGUUUGAAGAAUUUUAAGAUUAGAGGACUAGUAUGAAGGCAUGAGAGUUCUUUUGUGUGUGUGUGUGUUUUUAUUUUUUAAGGAAUGAGAGUUUAUUUUUUACUUGUUAGUAUGAAUUUGUGUUGUACAAUUGGGUAGUUCUCUUUUGUAAUCAAAUCGAAUAUUGUAAUACAAUUUUGUAAUGAUAUUUGAUGUUUUAUUCAACACUGUUUCAAUUUUUGUGUUGAAAUGAAUAUAAUAUAGUAUAGAAAUUUAAUUGAACAGUAGAUUUGAGUCU